UACGUAGGGACCAAGCGUUGUUCGGAUUUACUGGGCGUAAAGGGCGCGUAGGCGGCAAUUCAAGUCAGCUGUGAAAUCUCCGGGCUCAACUCGGAACGGUCAGCUGAUACUGCUUUGCUAGAGUGCAGAAAGGGCAAUCGGAAUUCUUGGUGUAGCGGUGAAAUGCGUAGAUAUCAAGAGGAACACCUGAGGCGAAGGCGGGUUGCUAGGCUGACACUGACGCCGAGGCGCGAAAGCUAGGGUAGCAAACGGG
rnacentral:rRNA from 1 species